AACGAACGCUGGCGGCAUGCCUAACACAUGCAAGUCGAACGAGACCUUCGGGUCUAGUGGCGCACGGGUUCGUAACGCGUGGGAACCUGCCCUUAGGUUCGGAAUAACUCCCCGAAAGGGGUGCUAAUACCGGAUAAUGUCUUCGGACCAAAGAUUUAUCGCCUUUGGAUGGGCCCGCGUUGGAUUAGCUAGUUGUUAGGGUAAAAGCCUACCAAGGCGACGAUCCAUAGCUGGUCUGAGAGGAUGAUCAGCCACACUGGGACUGAGACACGGCCCAGACUCCUACGGGAGGCAGCAGUGGGGAAUAGUGGACAAUGGGCGAAAGCCUGAUCCAGCAAUGCCGCGUGAGUGAUGAAGGCAUUAGGGUUGUAAAGCUCUUUUACCCGGGAUGAUAAUGACAGUACCGGGAGAAUAAGCUCCGGCUAACUCCGUG
rnacentral:rRNA from 1 species